AGGCUUUAACCCACUGAGCCACCCAGGUGCCCCUAGAAGGCGAUAUAUUGGCCCCUGGGACAUAGCAGUGCACUGAAGUCCUUAAUACUGGAGCUUUUGUUCUAGUGGGGAGACAGAUGGACAAGUAAAUAUGUAGUGGUAUGCCAGGGCCAUAAGUCCUAUCAAGAAAAACAAGUUGGGGAACUUAUUCCAGUCCAGGCAACGGCAGUCAGUGGAAACCCUAAACUGGGAGCAGGCUGAGCUUCUUUUGUAAGUGCAGGGAGGCCGGUGUGGCUGGAGCUGGGCCAACAAGGAAAUGCAGAGUCAGAUGACAUGCACCUCGCAAGCAGAUUGUAGGGACUUGGGGGUCACUCUGAGUGAGAGGAGCAGCCUUUGGAGGGGUUUGCCUAGAGGAGUGCCUCAGUAGUGUGGGGUCUAGAGGAGCUCUCUGGCCAGUGGUGAGAACAGAGAGUAGGGGGCACGUGUGGAAGCAGGAGACCGUUGUGGGCUAUGGUGGCACAGAUGCAGGUAGGUGAUGCUCCUGGUCUGCCCCAGAAGUACGAAGAAGGGAUUGGUUCUGGAUCUUUUUUAAAGGUAGAGCUGGCUUUGCUGGUGGUUACGUUGGUGGGGUGAACAUGGUGUGUGGGGAAAGGAGUAAGAAAUGACCAAGUACACAGACCUGUACCCCUGAAACAAAUAAUACAGUAUAUGUUAAUUAAAAAAAGAAAGAAA